AUUGAACGCUGGCGGAAUGCUUUACACAUGCAAGUCGAGCGGCAGCACGGGGGCAACCCUGGUGGCGAGCGGCGAACGGGUGAGUAAUACAUCGGAACAUGCCCAGUCGUGGGGGAUAACACUUCGAAAGAAGUGCUAAUACCGCAUACGGCCUGAGGGAGAAAGCGGGGGAUCUUCGGACCUCGCGCGAUUGGAGUGGCCGAUGUCAGAUUAGCUAGUUGGUGGGGUAAAGGCCUACCAAGGCAACGAUCUGUAGCUGGUCUGAGAGGAUGAUCAGCCACACUGGGACUGAGACACGGCCCAGACUCCUAGGGGAGGCAGCAGUGGGGAAUUUUGGACAAUGGGGGCGACCCUGAUCCAGCCAUUCCGCGUGAGUGAAGAAGGCCUUCGGGUUGUAAAGCUCUUUCGGCAGGAACGAAACGGCGAGCUCUAACAUAGCUUGCUAAUGACGGUACCUGAAGAAGAAGCACCGGCUAACUACGUGCCAGCCGCCGCCGUAAAAC
rnacentral:rRNA from 1 species